UUGCUUCCCUAAAAGCUUGCCUAUAAAGGCAAUCUUUCUUCACCCACAAGUCAGAUUUUAGAGAUUAAAAAUUCUGGAAAAAAAAACUGAAACGGCUGAGUUCUUUCUUUUAAGAGAAGUGUUGAAAAUAGUUUGAAUUUCUGCUUGAUUUUGAGUUCUGAUUCCUUUGUGAUAAGUCAGAAUUUUAAAGGUUUAGUAGAAAAUCGUGCAUUUGGGGUUUUGAAUAUGAGAAUUGGUUCGAUAAACUGAAGCUUGAUUUGCUGACCUUGGCACUGUUUCGUUGCUGGUUCUAAGUUGGUUUCUGCUGCUGCUUAUUGCUGAUUCUUCUCUUUUUUGUUUCCCUUUUAUUUCCAGAUCAUAUUAGUAGGCGUCAUCGCGACUCCCGAGGGUGAAAAAUCCGGAUCGUGACAUCGUCGUGCAAGAGAAACAUUCUGCGUGGACUCUUUCAGGCUUAUGGAAAAUACCAACUGGUUUCAUUCUUGAGGUAUAUUCCUGUAUUGCAUUUUGAUCUUGGUCGCUUUUAAGUUUUGACUGAAGUAAAUAGUGAAACAUGAAAUCUUGAUGCUUGGCUCCUUAAACGUUGUUCUUGUGUCAAAAUAAAGUCAGAGGAGAUCUUUACAGGAGUUGUGAGAGAAGUGGAGGAAAUUGGGGUAAGAAAUCCGCACUUAAACAUAUUUUUUACUUAGAUAAGCAAUGUAUAGUGAGAAAUUUUAAUUUAAAUGAUGAAUUUUCUUUCUCAUUAUUCUUUAUAGAUUGAUACUGAAUUUGUGGAGGUUAUGACUUUCAGGUAACAAAAAUCUUCCUCUUCGAAGGACCAUGAUUUUUGAUGAUUAUAUGCCUUUUUAGCUUUAGGAAGAUCUAUAUUAGCAUAUUUUAUAAGAACAUGAAAUGCUGAUACGAUAAGAAUCCGAGUGAACUUUGCUCAGACACAUAGAGAAUAUAGAAGUACAAUUUGCUAGAUUUAACUGUUUAGGACACUUCUUGCUUGCUAAAAAAGGACAGCCUAGUGCACUAAGCGCCUGCUAUGUGCGGGGUUCGGGUAAGGCCGGACCACAUUGGUUCUUAUGUACGUAGCCUUACUUUCGAUUUCUACAAUAAGUUGUUUCUGUCGCUUGAACCUAUGACCUCUUGGUCACACUGCGACAACUUUUAUCGUUACGCUAAGGCUCCCCUAGACUUCAUUGUUUAGGACACUUCUUGCUUUCUGAUGUAACAAAUUGAUCAAAACGAAUGUGCAUCUGAUAUAGAAAUAUAAGAUUUAUUUUCUUCCAAUUACAAAAAAACUGCCCAUCUUCAAUAUUAAUUGAGCUUCUUGCUCUCACUCAUGCUAUUUGAGACAAUCACACUAUAAACCUUAGUUUAACGUGUCAUGUAUUUUAUUCAUUACAUGUAUUUUCUGGAGGAAAACAUUGAUUAACCUCAAGAAAAUUGAGAAACUACUUAUUCCGUCAUUUCAGAAUAUGGGCCAUUAACAUCUAACAUUAAUAUUUAGAAUAUACUCAUCUAUUGGCAUUUUCAUUCUUGUUUAAUGUUCCACAUUGGUUUGGGAAAUUUGUUGUUUCCUCGCCCAAUGAGCUAGCUUUUUAUGUUAAAUUAAAUGUUCACUUUUCUUCACAUAGUAUCAGAGUUACACCACUCAUCAUAUUCUUGGCUUUGCGCCACACUGUAUUGUCCAUGCACAAAAUGUUCAAUCCUGGGCAUGCGAGGGAUGCUAAGUAUCUCAUAUUGAGUGGGAAAAUGUGUUAGUUCUUUUCUUAUAUGAUUUUGGACCAUCCUCACCUUAUGAUCUAGCUUUAGGAGUUGAGUUAGAUCCAAAGUCCAUUUUUUGAACAAUUCUGACGAGAGUGUGUAGUUUUAUUUUACCUUGCAUUUACUUAGCCUGCCUUUCUGUUCGCGAUGCAGUGGAUACCUCUAGCUGAGUUUGUGGAGUAGCCCCUAAUAAAAGGAGAUGACAUGUUCAAGAAAAUAAUUGACAUUUUCAUUGCUCGACUAGGGAAGCGUUACUGGUUUCCAAAUUUGAUGACAAACUUUCAACAUUGUACUUCAACACAGUUGAUGAUCCAGAUUUGAACUGUGAAGCUAAUUAGCAUUCGCAAUCAGCAUGUAUAUUACACUUCACCACUCACAAUGACUAACAUCACUUGGUCAUUUUGUUUAUAUGUAAUCUGCCUAAUCUGCAGGGUAUUGACUCUGUAAAUAUGUAAAAUAUAUUUUUCAAGUGAUUUAUCCAAAAAGUUUCUCUUCCCCUCAA